GCUUGGCCCUAAACCUCAGCAGUUAGAUAACAAAACUACUCGCCAGAAUACUACAAGCAACAGCUUAAAACUCAAAGGACUUGACGGUGCUUUACAUCCCCCUAGAGGAGCCUGUUCCGUAAUCGAUAAACCCCGAUCCACCCCACCCUCUCUUGCUCAGCCUAUAUACCGCCAUCUUCAGCAAACCCUAAUGAAGGCUACAAAGUGAGCGCAAACGCCACUGCCGCGAAUACGUUAGGUCAAGGUGUAGCCCAUGAGACGGUAAAAAAUGGGCUACAUUUUCUAUUUCAGAAAACCCACGAAAACCCUUAUGAAACUUAAGGGUCCAAGGAGGAUUUAGCAGUAAAUUAAGAAUAGAGUGCUUAAUUGAACCAGGCCAUAAAGCGCG
rnacentral:rRNA from 1 species